UACGAUUAAAAAGAUGACGCGAUUCGUUUGCGAGUGGUUGUUCCUGGCGCUUUUGUUCUCGUCUGCAUACGGAGGGCAUGUAUGUAUUGGUAAUUCCGGACUUUGUCCAGCAACGGACUUUGUCCAGCAACUUGAGAAUGCGCAGCGGGCUUCUUUUGCGGUGUGAAUAACUAUUGCUGUCCCAAUCCUGUAACUGGGCCAUGUGUCAAUCCCGGUGGCCCAUGCAAGGGGAGCGGACAGUGCACGGAUGGCUUCACUUGCAAAGAGUCGGUCUGCUGGUCCGUAGUAUGUCCGACACCGAUACCCGAACCUCCUGGUAACUGCGGUAGCGCGGCUAUGAAAGAUCUUUGUACCACAGACGCCGACUGCACGCAAGGCCGACCAUGCUGCGCGGACGGCUGUGGAAGAAAGAAGUGUCUGGAAAGCAAUCAGCCGCUGCCCUAGUUCCGUAAAGUUCUUUGUGCUCAAUUGGUCAUUGUCGGCCCAGGUACUCCAUAAAGGUACCCGGGUUCUCCUAAGUAUCUUAUAAAGUACCCGUUGCUCGGAAAAUAUACUAGAAGUACCCCGGAUUUGGGCGGGAUGCAUUGAAGCGUCUUUCCCGUACCCGGGUUAUAUUGUAAUAUACUUAAAUAGCAACCGGAGUACUUGUAAGUAGUAGUACGUACUUGAGCCGACAAGGGCCAAUUUUGAGCGUUUUUUGUUUGACACGUUCACAGGAUCUGCAACUGUGCAACUGGACACUUUACUUCAUGACGAUGCAGCGUACUUUGCAUUGAUAUUAACUAUUUAAUUUACAACUGAACUGAACAU